GCUGCCAGCUGAUCGGACUGAGAAGCCGGUUUGAAGGUAGUUGGAAUCGGGAGAGAAGGCGAGCCGUACUCGUAGCCGAGAAAAAUCUGAGAAAAUCACUGUGGCUGCAGUUCACCCAAAUCGAGAUAAAGUGGAAUCGUCUCCUGGCCAGCUGGUUGGAGGAGCUCUUUCUGCUUCAGCGUGUGUGCACGUGCGUGUGUGUGUGUGUGUGUCCGUGCACACGCAUGUGUGUGUGCGUGCGCGCAUUGCUGGCUGAUCUGCAGCAGUUCUUCACUGGCAAGCUUUAUGUGCCUGUAUCUCAGCUAAAGCUGCCAGCUGAAGAACUGUUGUGGUCUGCUCUUUCCUACGACACACGCGAGGGAGAGGAGACGAGCAAGAGGAAGGACUACUGGAUCUACUCUCUGACUCCCACGUCGGUGUGUCUACUCUCUCUGACUCCCACAUCAGUGUCUACUCUCUCUGACUCCCACAUCAGUGUGUCUACUCUCUCUGACUCCCACAUCGGUGUGUCUACUCUCUCUGACUCCCACGUCGGUGUGUCUACUCUCUCUGACUCCCACAUCGGUGUGUCUACUCUCUCUGACUCCCACGUCGGUGUGUCUACUCUCUCUGACUCCCACUUCGGUGUGUCUACUCUCUCUGACUCCCACAUCGGUGUGUCUACUCUCUCUGACUCCCACUUCGGUGUGUCUACUCUCUCUGACUCCCACUUCGGUGUGUCUACUCUCUCUGACUCCCACGUCGGUGUGUCUACUCUCUCUGACUCCCACAUCAGUGUGUCUACUCUCUCUGACUCCCACUUCGGUGUGUCUACUCUCUCUGACUCCCACUUCGGUGUGUCUACUCUCUCUGACUCCCACGUCGGUGUGUCUACUCUCUCUGACUCCCACAUCAGUGUGUCUACUCUCUCUGACUCCCACGUCGGUGUGUCUACUCUCUCUGACUCCCACGUCGGUGUGUCUACUCUCUCUGACUCCCACGUCGGUGUGUCUACUCUCUCUGACUCCCACUUCGGUGUGUCUACUCUCUCUGACUCCCACGUCGGUGUGUCUACUCUCUCUGACUCCCACAUCAGUGUGUCUACUCUCUCUGACUCCCACCAGAGUCGGGAGAACAUUUGAUGUAAAAUAAUGUAUUCUGCUUUAACUGUUCUGCAUGUCAAUGUAUAUUAAAAUAAUUUAAAUGAAA